GACGAACGCUGGCGGCGUGCUUAACACAUGCAAGUCGAACGGAAAGGCCCUGCUUUUGUGGGGUGCUCGAGUGGCGAACGGGUGAGUAACACGUGAGUAACCUGCCCUUGACUUUGGGAUAACUUCAGGAAACUGGGGCUAAUACCGGAUAGGAGCUCCUGCUGCAUGGUGGGGGUUGGAAAGUUUCGGCGGUUGGGGAUGGACUCGCGGCUUAUCAGCUUGUUGGUGGGGUAGUGGCUUACCAAGGCUUUGACGGGUAGCCGGCCUGAGAGGGUGACCGGCCACAUUGGGACUGGGGUUAGGCCCAGACUCCUACGGGAGGCAGCAGUGGGGAAUAUUGCACCAUGGGCGGAAGCCUGAUUCAGCAACGCCGGGGGCGGGAUUACGGCCUUCGGGUUGGAAACCGCUUUCGCCUGUGACGAAGCGUGAGUGACGGUAAUGGGUAAAGAAGCACCGGCUAACUACGUG
rnacentral:rRNA from 1 species